GCCAUGUAGGAAUGCACUGAUUGCAUG
rnacentral:piRNA from 1 species